ACCUGGCUGAAUUGACUCGAGCCUCUGAAUGGGAGAGCGAUUCCCGGGCAGGAGGGAUUCAGCCAAGGUCAGGCCGCACCGUAGUGGCGUGCUGCACCAAGCAGCGUGCUGCACUGUAGCAGCAGUUACGACGAAAGAAGGAAGGAAGAGAAAAGCAAGGAAAAAAAGAAAAAGAGAGAACUGGAGACCCCGGGCCUCAAGGCGCGGGUGAGCUGAGGCUUAACACAGGAGACAAGCCAAAUUGAAUGCCAGCGAAGGGAACCAAGGCCCUGAAGGCCCGCUGUUGGAGGUUCCCCCAUCCCUAAAAACCGUGAAGGGUUGCCGGGAGCUCAACGGUCAAACCCUUGAGUUAGAAGAGAUGGUUAAGCUGGCCGAGAUGGGGACACUCACGAUUAGUUGAUCUGUUGUUUGGAGGAGCUGCAUCCAGGGAACACGUGGGUCGUAGGCCGGCGAAGUGGAAAAGAACCCGGUUCGGGAGUCACGUGGCACCAAUGUUAUUCUUAAAAAACGAUUAGAGAGCUGCUGCAAACGGUCCCCAGGCGGGCUGGCGGAGGGAGCCCGCCAUGAGGGCGGCUACAGGAGAGCACGCUUCCUUGGCCCAUGGUGGCGGCAGGUAACAGACACGUAAACACAGGAAAUAGCCAUAAGUAUUUAUUAAGGAAGGGGGAGAAAGAAAGACAGAGAAAAGAGAUAAAAGGAGAGAGGAGAGAUAAAAGAAGAGAGAAAGAGAGAAAACGCGUGUGCACGCUAAGGAAGCAGAAAGAGAGAGUGAGUCCCAAGAUGGCGAUGGGCGGGUCAGAGGUUAUGGGAGUGGGCGUGGCUAGGGCAGGGACCCAAGAAUAUCACUAAGGUUUCCAGCUUUCAGAAUUGUUUGUGUCACAAGAGCAUCAUUGUGAGGUUACCCUGCUGGUGUCGUUUGACAAAUGUCUGAGACCUCAGGUUGCAUCAUAUGAGAACCCACAGUGUUUGCAUAACCUGAUUUAAAAACCUGAUGUAUAGGCUUUGGAAGCCUCAAAUAUUAAGGUUUUUUUUUUCAGUACAACUUCCAAAAAAAAGUAAAGUCAUGCUAACUCAGUAUUUAAAGAAACACAUGUCAUGACUUCUACAUGGCAUGUCACUAAAUUGAGUGCUUCAUUCAUGUCAGAGUUGACUGUAACUUUGGCCCUUCUUGUUGAAUAACUCUGGCACAUGCUGAUCAGGAGGCACACAGUUAUUUUGUGGUAUAUGCACAUAAAUGAAUACUCAAUAAUACCAAAAAAUUCCCUGAUAUCAUUUCCCAGGCUCUUGAUACCAAUGAUUUCGUGUGUGUGUGUGGAGGGUUAUAUUAAGAGGUCACACAAGAAUAUUCUCCUUUUCACUUCAAAGUAGAACCUAUUUAUAAUUCUUAGGAGGAGGAAUAUAAGAGAUGUUGUCUUUCAACCUAAGAUAUUUAGCCAGAUUAUGAGUUUUGUUUCUUUAAACAAAUGCAGAAUCAUUUAUACAUAAUCACUAAAGAAAGCAUGAUUUGGCAAAUUUGUUAAAACAAAUUUUAGUAAGUAGAUUAUAAUAUAUGCAAAUGCAUGCAUAUAUAGUCAUCAUUAAUACAUAACAAACUGGAGUAUGAAUUUCCACAGAGCCUCUUGAAUGCUUUCUUUCUAAAAUGUUAGGCUUCUGCACUGUCAUUCCUAAGCUCAUGCCCAGAAGACCAAAAUCAGUUCCUUCACGCAGACUGUACUCUUGUGAUGGAGGUGGGUCUUGUAUCUUAUCUGUUGAUUUCAUUGGUUAAUAAUAAAGAAACUGCCUCGGCCCUCAUAGGACAGAAAAUUAGGUAGGCGGAGUAGACAGAGGAGAAUGCUGGGGAAAAGAAGCUGAGUGAGUGAGUCGCCAUGUUUCUCCUGCUCCAGACAGACGCAGGUUAAGAUCCUCCCUGGUAAGCCAGCUUGUGGGCUACAUAGAAUAUUAGAAAUGGGUUAGAACAAUAUGUAAGAGCUAGCCAAUAAGAAACUGGAACUUGUGGGCCAGGCAGUGUUUGAAAGAAUACAGUUUCCGUGUAAUUAUUUCGGGCAUAAGCUAGCCAUGAGGGCGGCCGGGUGCCGGGGACGCAGCCCUGCCACUCCUAUUUCAACACUCUUGAAAGAUUAGUUUUUCAAAAUACUCAAGGUUUACUUAUCAGAUCAUAAUUCUUCAAAGCUGAUGGUCCAUUACUAACUUUACUAAGAAUUCCAUACUUCCCCCCCCCCCUUGUUUCAAAAUGUAGUAACUAUCCCAUUAUUUUAGAAGAUGUAGAUUUUUUUUUGAAAUGCACUUCUGGGGUUUUGUACCAUUCAUGCUUUUGUUUCACAUUUGUUUUUGUAUUAAGUAGCAUCUCCUGUAGAGAAGACUGGUUGCAAACUUGCUAUUCAGAUGACCAUAGAUUCCCUAAUAUCCUUACUUAGUGCUUUGUGUGACAUGGUAUCUUAUUUACAGAAGAGUGGGUAACAAACCUAGGGUUUGACCCUAACCUACAGAAAUAACAGUCCCAAAGAUGAUGUGUUCAGGGGAAGAACUGGAGAUGAAAAAUAAAAAGGUGGACAGCUGAAAUUGAGAGGUCUUGUUUGAGCUGAUUAUACCAAGCAAUUUUAAUAAGAAACAUAGCUUCUUACAUACUAUUUGCAUGGGAGAAAUGGCCAAGGAGUGCAAAGACAAUGUUUGCCAGGAAAACAGAAGAUAGCUCAAAUUAUCUUCUGUCAACUGCCUUAGGAAUGACAGUCCAGUCCAGGUAAAAGGUCAGUUCCUGAGAAAAAACUGCCACAUUGACCCUGUUUUUCUUUUCAAGUGACAUAAUUUUUUUUUUUAUUUUUUAUUGAAAAAAAAUUUUCCGCCUCCUCCCAGACUCCCAUUCCUCUCCCCCUCCUCCCACUCACUCCCACUCCUCUCCCCCUCCCUCUCCAGUCUGAAGAGCAGUCAGGGUUCCCUGCCCUGUGGAAAGUCCAAGGUCCUCCCCCCUCCAUCUAGGUCUAAGAAGGUGAGCAUCCAAACUGGCAGGCUCCCACAAACCCAGUUCAUGCAGUAGGAUCAAAACCCAAUGCCAUUAUCCUUGGCCUCUCAUCAGCUCUCAUUGUCUGCCAUUUUCAGAGAGUCCGGUUUUAUCCCAUGCUUUUUCAGUCCCAGUCCAACUGGCCUUGGUGAGCUGCCAAUAGAUCAGCCCCAUUGUCUCAGUGGGUAGGUGCACCCCUCACGGUCCUAACUUCCUUGCUCAUGUUCUCCCUCCUUCUGCUCCUCAUUGGGACCUUGGGAGCUUAGUCCGAUGCUCCAGUGUGGGUCUCUGUCUCUAUCUCCAUCCAUCGCUAGAUGAAGGUUCUAUGGUGAUAUGCAAGAUAUUCAUCAGUAUGGAUAUAGGAUAGGGCCAUUUCAGGUUCCCUAUCCUCAGCUGCCUAAGGAACUAACUGAGGACAUUGCCCUGGGCACCUGGGAGCCCCUCUAGGUUCAAGUCUCUUGCGAACCCUAAGAUGGCUCUCUUAAUUAAGAUAUAUGCUUCCCAGCUCCCAUAUCCAUCCUUCCUUUAUCCCAAACAUCCCAUUUCCCAAGUUUCCCCCAUCCUCCCCUUCUCACUUUUCUCUCCCCAUUUUCCCUUACCGCCAUCCCACCCCACCCCCAAGAUCCCAAUUUUUUGCCCGGCAAUCUUGUCUACUUCCCAUAGCCAGGAAGAUAAGUAUAUGUUUUUCUUUGCAUUCACCUUCUAAUUUAGCUUCUUUAGGAUAUCAGAUUAUAGACUCAAUGUCCUUUAUUUAUGGCUAGAAAGCAAUUAUGAGUGAGUACAUCCCAUGUUCAUCUUUUUGGGUCUGGGUUGCUUCGCUCAGGAUAGUGUUUUCUAUUUCCAUCCAUUUGCAUGCAAAAUUCAAGAUGUCAUUGUUUUUUACCGCUGAGUAGUACUCUAAUGUAUAUAUGUCACACUUUUUUCAUCCAUUCUUCCAUUGAAGGACAUCUAGGUUGUUUCCAGGUUCUGGAUAUUACAAAUAAUGCUGCCAUGAAUAUAGUUGAACAAAUGCUUUUGUAAUAUGAUAGGGCAUCUCUUGGGUAUAUUCCCAAGAGUGGUAUUGCUGGGU